AAAAAAAAUAAAAAAAGGACAAUCGCAUGUGACUAUGCAUUAACGUGUCCAACAACUUUUCUCUUAUUUUAAGAAAAAGACAGUAGUGCAUUAAAUGGUUUGUAUCUUUUAAAUGAGAAAAUGCAUAUUAUUCAACGGAAUAAUCAUCCUCUUUCUAAAACAACCAUUUCAUCUUCAACCUUUCAACCCAAAUUUCAAUAUCAUCAAUAUCAGAAGUAGAGUUCAAAUGGUUGCAUAGAAAAAGGAAAAGACUCGGGGAGACUUCUUUUUCCAUGAUAUUUCUUUUCUGGUCAUCUUCUUCAUAUUGACAGCUAGGGAGCUUUGGAUUGAGCUUGAGGAUCGCUAUGGAUAGGCAGAUAGAGCAAGGCUUUUUCAACUGCAAAAGGGGCUCAAUAACAUCAACCAAGGUGAUGACAUUGAAGAUGGGAAUGAAAGUGAUGAACUAGACUUGAAAUCAAUCAGAUUGGCGGGUUCAUCAUGCUACGACAUGUUAAAAAAUUUGACUAAGUUUCAAAUAUCUUUUGUUGUUGAACAAUGAAAGUUAUGUGUUACACUUUUUGAAGGUCCAAAAAAAUUGAGUUUUGGUUGUAAUGAAUAAUUUCUAUUCUAUUUCAAAAAAUAUUUGGUUCUUCGUCCAAAAA